UGCAGUCGACGAUGAUCAGGAGCUUGCUCCUGUGAUUAGUGGCGAACGGGUGAGUAACACGUGAGUAACCUGCCCCUGACUCUGGGAUAAGCGUUGGAAACGACGUCUAAUACUGGAUACGACUGCCGGCCGCAUGGUCUGGUGGUGGAAAGAUUUUUUGGUUGGGGAUGGACUCGCGGCCUAUCAGCUUGUUGGUGAGGUAAUGGCUCACCAAGGCGACGACGGGUAGCCGGCCUGAGAGGGUGACCGGCCACACUGGGACUGAGACACGGCCCAGACUCCUACGGGAGGCAGCAGUGGGGAAUAUUGCACAAUGGGCGAAAGCCUGAUGCAGCAACGCCGCGUGAGGGAUGACGGCCUUCGGGUUGUAAACCUCUUUUAGUAGGGAAGAAGCGAAAGUGACGGUACCUGCAGAAAAAGCACCGGCUAACUACGUGCCAGCAGCCGCGGUAAUACGUAGGGUGCAAGCGUUGUCCGGAAUUAUUGGGCGUAAAGAGCUCGUAGGCGGUUUGUCGCGUCUGCUGUGAAAUCCCGAGGCUCAACCUCGGGCUUGCAGUGGGUACGGGCAGACUAGAGUGCGGUAGGGGAGAUUGGAAUUCCUGGUGUAGCGGUGGAAUGCGCAGAUAUCAGGAGGAACACCGAUGGCGAAGGCAGAUCUCUGGGCCGUAACUGACGCUGAGGAGCGAAAGCGUGGGGAGCGAACAGGAUUAGAUACCCUGGUAGUCCACGCCGUAAACGUUGGGCGCUAGAUGUAGGGACCUUUCCACGGUUUCUGUGUCGUAGCUAACGCAUUAGCGCCCCGCCCGGGGAGUACGGCCGCAAGGCUAAACUCAAGGAUUUGACGGGGGCCCGCACAAGC
rnacentral:rRNA from 1 species